rnacentral:tRNA from 1 species
AGUAUUGUGCCAGAGUUAUAUGGGCUUUGUUGAUGUCAAAGAAUACGAGAAAUUUUCUCCAAUACUU